GUCGUGAGACAGUUCGGUCCCUAUCCAUCGCGGGCGCAAGAAACUUGAAGGGGGCUGCUCCUAGUACGAGAGGACCGGAGUGGACGAACCGCUGGUGUACCAAUUAUCCUGCCAAGGGUACAGUUGGGUAGCUACGUUCGGGACGGAUAAACGCUGAAAGCAUCUAAGCGUGAAACCAGCCUUGAGAUGAGGUUUCUCAUAGCAUAAGCUAGUAAGAUCCCAUGUAGACGACAUGGUUGAUAGGCCAGGUGUGGAAGAGCCGUGAGGUUUGGAGCUGACUGGUACUAAUAGAUCGAGGGCUUUACUUA
rnacentral:rRNA from 1 species